rnacentral:rRNA from 1 species
AUUUGUCUGGUUAAUUCCGAUAACGAACGAGACCUUAACCUGCUAACUAGAUACUUUUAUUCUAUAAAUGUCAUCUUCUUAGAGGGACUAUGUAAUCUAAAUACAUGGAAGUUUGAGGCAAUAACAGGUCAGUGAUGCCCUUAUAUGUCCUGGGCUGCACGCGUGCUACACUGAUGCAUACAACAAGUGCCUAACCAGACAUGGUACGGCAAUCUCGAAUAUGCAUCGUGAUGGGGAUAGAUCUUUGCAAUUAUAGAUCUUGAACGAGGAAUUCCUAGUAAGUGCAAGUCAUCAUCUUGCAUUGAUUAUGUCCCUGCCCUUUGUACACACCGCCCGUCGCCCCUACCGAUACCGGGUGAUCCGGUGAACCUUUUGGACUCAUUGAGAAAGAUAAGUAAACCAUAUCACCUAGAGGAAGGAGAAGUCGUAACAAGGUUUCCGUAGGUGAACCUGCRGAAGGAUCA